UACGAAGGGGGCUAGCGUUGCUCGGAAUCACUGGGCGUAAAGGGUGCGUAGGCGGGUCUUUAAGCUGGUAGGUAAAUCCUGGAGCUCAACUCCAGAACUGCCUUUGAUACUGAGGAUCUUGAGUUCGGGAGAGGUGAGUGGAACUGCGAGUGUAGAGGUGAAAUUCGUAGAUAUUCGCAAGAACACCAGUGGCGAAGGCGGCUCACUGGCCCGAUACUGACGCUGAGGCACGAAAGCGUGGGGAGCAAACAGG
rnacentral:rRNA from 1 species